rnacentral:rRNA from 1 species
UACGAAGGGGGCUAGCGUUGCUCGGAAUCACUGGGCGUAAAGCGCACGUAGGCGGAUUGCUAAGUCAGGGGUGAAAUCCUGGAGCUCAACUCCAGAACUGCCUUUGAUACUGGCGAUCUCGAGUUCGGGAGAGGUGAGUGGAACUGCGAGUGUAGAGGUGAAAUUCGUAGAUAUUCGCAAGAACACCAGUGGCGAAGGCGGCUCACUGGCCCAUAACUGACGCUGAGGCACGAAAGCGUGGGGAGCAAACAGG